rnacentral:rRNA from 1 species
UGGGGAAUAUUGCACAAUGGGCGCAAGCCUGAUGCAGCAACGCCGCGUGAGGGACGACGGCCUUCGGGUUGUAAACCUCUUUUGGCAGGGAAGAAGCGAAAGUGACGGUACCUGCAGAAAAAGCACCGGCUAACUACGUGCCAGCAGCCGCGGUGAUACGUAGGGUGCAAGCGUUGUCCGGAAUUAUUGGGCGUAAAGAGCUCGUAGGCGGUUUGUCGCGUCUGCUGUGAAAACCCGAGGCUCAACCUCGGGCCUGCAGUGGGUACGGGCAAACUAGAGUGCGGUAGGGGAGAUUGGAAUUCCUGGUGUAGCGGUGGAAUGCGCAGAUAUCAGGAGGAACACCGAUGGCGAAGGCAGUCCCCUGGGCCUGUACUGACGCUCAUGCACGAAAGCGUGGGGAGCAAACA